AACGAACGCUGGCGGCAGGCUUAACACAUGCAAGUCGAACGCCCCGCAAGGGGAGUGGCAGACGGGUGAGUAACGCGUGGGAAUCUACCGUACCCUACGGAACAACAGUUGGAAACGACUGCUAAUACCGUAUACGCCCUUAGGGGGAAAGAUUUAUCGGGGUAUGAUGAGCCCGCGUUGGAUUAGCUAGUUGGUGGGGUAAAGGCCUACCAAGGCGACGAUCCAUAGCUGGUCUGAGAGGAUGAUCAGCCACAUUGGGACUGAGACACGGCCCAAACUCCUACGGGAGGCAGCAGUGGGGAAUAUUGGACAAUGGGCGCAAGCCUGAUCCAGCCAUGCCGCGUGAGUGAUGAAGGUCUUAGGAUUGUAAAGCUCUUUCACCGGUGAAGAUAAUGACGGUAACCGGAGAAGAAGCCCCGGCUAACUUCGUGCCAGCAGCCGCGGUAA
rnacentral:rRNA from 1 species